CAUUUUAUGUAGCAUGGAUGGCAAAUUUGCGAAAGUAUUCUGCCACUGUCAUGCUCCUUUAUGUACACUUACUAAAUGGUAUCAAUUUAAUAAUCUUCUUAAUAUAUAAGUUCUUAGCAUAUUUUAUUUUGCCUUGCAGGCAAAAACUGAUCAAGAUGAGAAACAUUAUAAUUGAUGCAAAAUCUGUGGUUAUUGGGGCAGGUUUGUGUAAUUUCAAGGUACCAUGACUUUAGAAUUCAGCACCUACCCCUCCUCUGAUGUGGUGUUGUGAGAGCAAGAAAAAGAGCAGGCAUGCUCUAUCUCUACAUCGAGCGUUCACAUGGCCAGAUUGACGGGAAUAAACUGUGGGUGAAACUUGAUUGCAGACAGCCGGGAAAGAGUUUUCCAACAUUUGUCCCUGCUACAAGAUUUAUUGUUAAGCUGGUCUGGUAGUCUGCUCCUCCGGAGAUGCUGCAAAUGGUGCUACCUCGCCAUGAAGCUCGUCACCCAUGUGCAGCGGGUGGACACUGUCUGGGCUUACAACUUCGAAGCAUGAAGGUGACAGUACGAUGUGCCCCUUCCCCUGCUGUUCUACCUGCAGACGCAGUUUACGCCCGUGGCCUCGCUGUCUAGGUCAGAGUUGGGGCCUGGAUCUGGACGAGGAACAGAAUAUCCCGGCGAACAUCGCCCAUGCCGGCGGCUCGAGAGAUGCGGGGUGACAGUGAG